UCGCGUUGGUCUUUUGCGCCAUUCUGAGAGUGGAGAUGCUUUUCUAGCUCUUUGGUUUGUUUCUCUCAGUUUUCUUGUGUUGAUUGUUGGACUCAUCGAUUUGGAUUUUGUUCUUGUUUUAAUUUCCGACGAAUCUGUUGCUGACGGAUUGGCGGAUUUACAACCCGUGCUGAACCUGUUUCACAGAGAGGAGAAUAAGGAUUGCAAUGCGCAUUGACUGAAGCCCACCGAGCAUCAACAUGUCUUUAUGAGGAUGGAGCUGUGGACACGAGUGGCAUCUUUUCCGUUUUAAACGCUUUACCUUGAGAGUUUUUGGUCCGAUAUCGACUGUUUUACUUCUAACAGACUGACAACAUUUCUUUUCAGUCCAGCCUGACAUGUUGGAAGGUAGAUCUUCUUUCCAGAAAACAAGGUAAUGGGAGAGAAAUCACACAGAGUCGGCACAGAGAACAAGGGGACAUUGUUCGGAAAAAGACAAUUAGGGCGCACCGAAAGGCAACAGAAAUAGCUCUUGGGUGGCGAUACAUGUCAGAAAAUUCGAUUCAGUGGAGUUAUAUUUGAGCAGAGGAGCACUGCUUUGGAAACAAGGAGGACUAAUGACAAAUUAAUGGGAAAGUCAUGGGAUUGGCACUGAAAUAGUAACGACCGUGGACGCGCAGAAAACCCGUCGUUUUUUGGAGAUCCAGACGCACGGAUUGAACAAGUUUCUCCUGCACGUUUCAGAGUCUGCUUUUGGUUUGAUCCAGUCCAUUUUUGAUGAAUUGCGGAUCCAUGAGGUUGUACACAGCGGGCUUUCACUCCACACUUUGACUGCCUCUACCUAUAGCCUGCUCGGCUGUAGUCGCACAUCCAUUGUUUUGAGAACCUCCUCGCCACAGCAUUGAAAGUAUUGCCCAUUUCUUUUCUUUUUUUUAAAUGUGGCUGCAUAUGCUGGGUGUCAGGGUUGAAAUGGCGUGUCGAGGAAGUGGGAUUGGAUUGUGGAUCCUGCUGAUAUUCUUACUGGAUUUACUGGGGACGGCGGCCAGCAAUAUGGAGCCUAUCUACUGGAAUUCUCUGAACGAAAGGGCUGGACAACCCCUGGGUCGAGCCGGGACUGCUG
rnacentral:lncRNA from 1 species